AGUGAACGCUGGCGGUAGGCCUAACACAUGCAAGUCGAACGGCAGCACAGUAAGAGCUUGCUCUUACGGGUGGCGAGUGGCGGACGGGUGAGGAAUACAUCGGAAUCUACUUUUUCGUGGGGGAUAACGUAGGGAAACUUACGCUAAUACCGCAUACGACCUACGGGGGAAAGCAGGGGAUCUUCGGACCUUGCGCGAUUGAAUGAGCCGAUGUCGGACUAGCUAGUUGGCGGGGUAAAGGCCCACCAAGGCGACGAUCCGUAGCUGGUCUGAGAGGAUGAUCAGCCACACUGGAACUGAGACACGGUCCAGACUCCUACGGGAGGCAGCAGUGGGGAAUAUUGGACAAUGGGCGCAAGCCUGAUCCAGCCAUACCGCGUGGGUGAAGAAGGCCUUCGGGUUGUAAAGCCCUUUUGUUGGGAAAGAAAAGCAGCAGGUUAAUACCCCGCUGUUCUGACGGUACCCAAAGAAUAAGCACCGGCUAACUUCGUG
rnacentral:rRNA from 1 species